UGGGAAACGAAAUGAAAGGAAUGGGACUUUUAUAAAGAGUGCUAUGCCUAAUGCUACAUUUUUUCUUGUUUCCUUUUAUCGCCUAUUCUAUACCAGUUGAAUGAAGGAGAAGCAACCUAUCCGGCCCGACAUUUGGGUUGUCCUAACCCGAUUCCAAUAUAGUUAAUCAGUUAUGGUACUUUGAUUAACACGAUCCGAUUCAAAAAAAACAACACCUUCUUGCAUUUUUUGAAGCAAAUUCUUACAAUCCACCCCAACCCUCUACAUGCAAUUACAACCUACAAAGUUUUUACCUGCACAAGUAAACAAUGCAAGAUUUGACUAAAAUAAACUACAUAGAUACCUAGAAAGUAAAAUUUGACCAUCUCAGAAGCACAAGAACAACU
rnacentral:lncRNA from 1 species